AGAUCAUUAAGGAAACUUCAUCAUCGACUGGAAACAUUAGUCUGAGUGUCACCAAGAGCAAGCCUGAGAGUGGAGAGAUCAUCGUAGUUUUUGAAAGCAUUCAACCGUCUGAUACCGAUUUAGGGGCAAAGACUCCCAAGGACGUGAAGAUCCAGGGGAUCUAGUAUGCCCAAUUGGAGAGGAAUAUGCUUUGUUUCUUGAUUCAGA